UACAGAGGUCCCAAGCGUUGUUCGGAAUCAUUGGGCGUAAAGCGCGUGUAGGUGGUUAUGUAAGUCGGGUGUGAAAUCCCUGGGCUCAACCGAGGAAGUGCACUCGAAACUACAUAGCUAGAGGACAGUAGAGGAAGGUGGAAUUCCUAGUGUAGAGGUGAAAUUCGUAGAUAUUAGGAGGAAUACCGGUGGCGAAGGCGGCCUUCUGGGCUGGACCUGACACUGAGACGCGAAAGCGUGGGGAGCAAACAGG
rnacentral:rRNA from 1 species